rnacentral:rRNA from 1 species
UACGUAGGGGGCUAGCGUUGUCCGGAAUCAUUGGGCGUAAAGAGCGUGUAGGCGGUCCGGUAAGUCCGCUGUGAAAGUCGGGGGCUCAACCCCGGGUCGGCCGUGCGGACUGCGGGGCUGGAGCACUGUAGGGGCGGGUGGAAUUCCGGGUGUAGCGGUGGAAUGCGUAGAGAUCCGGAAGAACACCGGUGGCGAAGGCGGCCCGCUGGGCAGUAGCUGACACUGAGGCGCGACAGCGUGGGGAGCAAACAGG